CACGUAGGGCGCAAGCGUUGUCCGGAAUUAUUGGGCGUAAAGAGCUCGUAGGCGGUCUGUUGCGUCCGCUGUGAAAACCCGGGGCUUAACCCUGGGCUGGCAGUGGAUACGGACAGACUAGAGGUAGGUAGGGGAGAAUGGAAUUCCCGGUGUAGCGGUGAAAUGCGUAGAUAUCAGGAGGAACACCGGCGGUGUAGACGGCUUACUGGACCACGACUGACGCUGAGGCACGAAAGCGUGGGUAGCAAACAGG
rnacentral:rRNA from 1 species